rnacentral:lncRNA from 1 species
UAGUCAAACAUGUUUUAACUAUCUUUUGGAAAUGAUUAGUCUUGUUAAAAAUUUGACAAACGAUAAUACCUCCAACUUUUGAGAGUUGUCACUUCUAUCAUUCUAGUUGAUUUGUUUUUCCAUUGAUUGUUGUCACACCAUUUGUUUUUGUUAUUCUAGUUUCCUCAAUCAUUGCCUCAAGAUCUUCUUGCAGGAGUGAAAACUCUUCCUCUCUAAUUAAAAUUAUUAUCAUGAUUUCUUCUACCAUGUUUGCUUAGAAAAACUUGCUCAUGAAUAAUUUGAUUUUUCCUAUCUUCAUCUUCAUUGAUUAGAUUUCCUAAUGUGAUCAUUAGAAUGAAUUAAUUGAAAGAUAGAGAAGGUGGUUUUGCAAGCAUGAAAACCCGAAAAAAGUAGUAUUUUGGUCGAAGUCCUCGAGGGAGUCGAAGCACCUUCUCAACAUUUUGCAUUAGAUUCUAAAUAAGUACUAAGUUAUCACUUAUGCCUUUAAAUUUUCAAAGAUUUUCAUCUAUAGAUAGAACCUCAUGAGGAAUCUAUUAUUUAAAAGGAUUUCCUUUUCAUAGGUAGCAAUCAUUUUGAGUCUAACAAGCCUCUCUAAGACUUCCUCUUUCAUAUUCCAAGAAGCUAGGGGUAAGAAGUCAAUUUGAUUGAGAUAUUGUAUAUCUUAUUGACAACCUUUUUUUUUUAUUCUUUUGAAUCUUAAGUUUCUUUUGGUCAUUUUCUACAUUCAGGGAGAUGAUGGAAUAUGUCAAGAUUCUAAAAUGAAGGAAGAACUUUCAAGCACCCAAACAUAAACUUUCAAGAUUUGUUCAUUAAUCAAAAGAUGAAAUGCUAGCAGUAUACCAAAAAGAGGUUAUUGGAUUUCUAUAUUAUUUCAUUAUUUUUAUAUAGACACUUUUCACUCAAUUCCUAGUCCUUGCAUUUUUCAUGUUUAGAAAUUUUCUUAGGUUAGGCUAUUUUGCUAUAGAUAUGAUUGUUGCUAAGUUUAUGCAAAAAAGCAUGCAAUAAUUUCUUCCAUAGUGAUCUUGUUGCCUUCUUGAAUAAGUGGAUGUUUGAUUUAUGUGGAACUGUUGAACUCUUUAAUUCAAGCAUGGUAUCAACAAUAUAUUUCAGGUUUUACAUCUAACUGUUAUCUCUUUUUUAUGACUUGGUUUUUUAUUUUCUUAUAUGGAUAUUGUAAGAGGUUAUGCUCCUUUUUAAUUCUAUUUUCAUGAUUCUCAUAUGAAUUAACACAAAUGAAGGAAAGGUUUUUUUAAUUAAGUUAAUUUAUUGAUGUUGGAAAAAUUAAUUGUUAGUUAUAUUCUAACUUUACAUGCUUGUUAAAAUGAUUAGACUAGUUAAUUUAAAAAUAUAUAUCAUUCUUGUAAUAAUUCACUAUUAAUUGUGUGGCUAAGUGAUCAUGUUCUUUCAUGUUUUCUUUUCAUAUCAGGUUGAUACUAAAGGGGUAUUAUUGAGAAUGAGUUGAGCAUUGUUCAAUUUCUCAAGAUAAAUGUUCAUAAGGUAUGGAUGUCUGAUGCAUAUAGAAAGAGUUAGUUCACUUGCUUAGUAUCUAUAAUAUGUACUCAUUCUUGAUGUUUGUGAUUACUUAAUUUCUAUCUUUCAUCUUUUGGUGUCUUGCUUGUUAAUUUAUACCUUUACAUUCAAUUUGUUAAGAACUAUUAUACUCUAUUUGAAGUUUGAUUUUAUGAUUCUCAUACACAAAAGAAUACCAACAAUUUGGGCAAGGACAUGAUACUAAAUCAUUUAUCAAUUUGGUUAUCUAUCUUUUCUCUAAUUUCUUAAGCUUGGGAAUCAAAAUGCUUUGGAAUACCAAGAAACAAUGGGGAUGAGUCUUUUCUUCAUCAUCUUGAGUUUUAUUGAUAGUCAACUUGUAGUAUCAUCCUUCAUAUUCCCUAAAGUACUCAAACUUGAUAGUUUGAAAUACUUAACUUGUUUACAAAAAUAUUCUUACUUCAUGUUUAGGUUUUGUAUAUUUGAAAAUUUAGUUAUGUUAAUUAUUUUAUUAUAGUCAUGACCAUUUUCAUGUCAAUGCAAAAGAGAUAGUGGUGAAGACUAGCAAAAUGUUACUCAUACCUUGAACAUAACUAUAAGUUAUUAACGGCUGGUGCACUGGAAAUGUCUCUCCCUCCUCUACUGUCUUUAGUUAGAAUAAAGGGUUCAUAUUAUGUUUUCAUUAUUUAGUUUUGUAAUUUCUACUUAUCAUCCCACUUUUUGUCUCUUAAUGAUUUAUCACUUAACAAUCAAAUUUUAAAAACAUGUUCUUAUAGGUGAUAGUGCAAUAACAUGUUAAAUUCAUGAAAAUUUUUCCAAAUUGAUAUUCAAGGUUUAGUUUAUCUUCAAGUGCCUUCUAGAUGUGGCUUUUGUGUUUUAUAAACCAAAACAUUGAUCUAUGUUCUUUGUGGCUAAGGCUUGGUGUAUUUUCAAGUACCUUGUGGUAGAAGCUUAGGCUUUCCUUCUCUUUCUUUUUGAGAAAAUAUAUUGAUGAUUGCUAGAGGAUUAGGUUGUCAAAAUUCAAUAUUGUAGAAAAUGUUUGGCGUUUUAAAAUUAUUUAAUGAAUUUGGUUGAGAAGUUACUUAAUAUAGAAAAACAUAUUUAUUUGAGAAACAGGGAAAUAAAAAUAUUUUUUGCACUACUUGCCUUAUGUUUGCAUGAUGUGUGCACACAAACAAAUCAUAGAAUUAAGAAUACAAAUUGUUUGCUCUCAUUUUUAUAAAUUAAUAAAACUAUAACCAAAAUGCAAUGUAGCCAAGUCACAUUUAUUGUAUUAGUCCUAAAAUAAUGUUUGAACUAUGUUAACUAGUAAGUAUUGGAAAAAGGAAUUAUGCCAUCUUUAUUUUCUAUUUACCUGGUUUAUAAAAUCCUUAGAUCAAUAAAGUUUGAAAUUUGUAUGCAGUUAAUUGCUAGAAUUAUAAAUUUUUGUAAUUAUAAUUAUUUUUAUGAUUUUAUUUUAUUUUAUUUAUGUUUACAUUUUUGUUUGAAAGUUUCUCAUAUAUGUUAGUCUUUCUAUCAUUAAUAUAAUAAUUAUCAAGAUUAUUCAAAAAGGAUAGAGGACUAGUGGUAUAUUGUUCACAUUUUAUAAAUAUAUGUUGACAAUGUGGUCUUUAGGUUUACAUUUUAAACUUUUUUCCUCACUAUUUAUCUUUUUAUCAUUUAUUACAUGGCAGUCAAUUUCUAAUACACAAUGAGUCUUCUCUUCCCUUUUUCAAGACCAUUCUUCUCAUUUUCAAAGGUACUUACAUUUAAAAAACUUAAGAUAAUGUUGAAGGGAGUUUCAUUAUGAGGACAUAUUACAACAACACUUGUUAAUAAUAUUGUUUUAUGAGUUGACAUCCAUGUCUAUGCAUUUACACUUAACAGGAUUCAUUAUACAAGAGUAUCUUAUACAUUGAACUCAAUGCAAGUUUAGAAAAAUGAUAUUAGGUUGGGUUUAGGUUGAGAAUUAGGUUGGGUUUGGCUAUGGUUAAGUGUUUCUUAGGUUUGGUUUGGAUCAGAUUGAGCAUCAACCAAACUCAACUCACCCAAGUUGCAACCUUAAUUUCCAAGAAAUUGAUAUAUAUUCCAUUUACAAAUAUUAUUUUUUUUGGUUCGUAUAGGCACGAGAACAUCAUGCUAAGUGCAUAAGAAACAUUUCCAAGUUGAUAUUUUGUUGUAGGUUAAUCUUCAAGUGCCUUAGAGCUAAAACAUUUUAUAUUAUUAGGGUUUGAUGAUUCUUGCACUAGUGCUUGGGUCUCAUGUUGGAUUUCAAAUCAAGUGACUAAUUAAUCUUUUGAAAAUAUUUGAUUGAUAUUAUAACUAAAUUGAUAAUAUUUUUUUAUAUAUAUUGGUAAUUGAUUUUAAUGUCUUUUUAAUUGUUCUAUGAAAUGUCUAACCUAUUCUUGUUAGGGUCAAGGAUGUGUUUGUUGCACAUGUUGGAUCAUAUUUAACUUUUCACUAUUAGUAUUCCUUUAAUAGAACUUCAAUGCUAAAACUAAAUCAUUUGGGUUGUUGGUAUAAGUUUACAAUGAGUACAAUACCUCUUGCAACUGAGAUUGCCUUCAAGCCCAUUGAAAUUUUUGUGUUGUUACUAAUUGAUUCUUUGUUGCUGAAAUAUAAUAUGUGAAGUUAUCUUAUAAUCAUAUAACUAAUAAAAUUUGAAUGUUAUAUGACAUGUUUUAUUAUUUUAAAAAAUUUAAUGUUUUGUGAAUUAAAGACCACCAUGUUAUCCAUAACAAAAGUUUUCUAUGGUUAAACUGUAAUUGUUUUCUUGGUUAAUGUGACAGUUUAACUGUGGAGUUCGGUUGAAUAUUCUUGAGUUUCAUGCCUUGUGUAUCUGAUUUGUUUGCCAAGCUUCAAUGAUAUUCACUACACUUGUGAGCUGUGUUUGUUUAUAGUCUUCAACUCUAGAAAACUGAUAUUGGGGCCUAAGUUCAUCGUAGGUAAGGAAAUCAACCUUUAUCAUUAAGUUUAGUGAGUAAAUGUAUUCCUUCUUACCCCAUAAAAUAAAGUUUCUAAACCUUGCCUUAGACAUCAUAACUCCAUUACUAUUUGUAAAGAAAAUGAUUAAGUUUUUCAUUUUAUGUAGAAGUAAAAAAAAAAAAAAAAAAAGUGGUCAUUUGGACACGAUUUGACAUUGUUAUUAUUUUCUUUAUAAAUUAGAUAUCAAUAAUUUUUCAAAGUCCAUAUUUUAUUUCCAGGAUGUUCUUUUUAUAUGGAUAGGUAAUAGAUGGCUAAAGUGGAGAAAACUUACUUUUUUUUUAAUUCAAGUACCUUCCACCAAAUAUUUAAGGUUUGUGUGUCAACCUCUCUUCCUAUUUGUUGCUUCAUCUUUACUAUUUUGAAGUCAAACAAAGAAAAUGCUAUCUUUAAUACUCCUCAUGCAAAUAGGCUAGACAUGCAUGCUUGAAUGCAAUAUUUUCUCUAUUGUUUGUUUACUUUCUUGUCUUUAUUCUAUCCCACUUGUUAAUGUUAUUUAAAAUCAUUUUUGUGAUGAUUAAUUAUCGAUUGUAAAAAUACUUGGCUUAGCCAAUUAUUGAAUUGAAAUUAAUUUAAUAUCAUGAAAAAUACCAAAAGAAUAAUGUUUAGUCUUACUUAAGGAUUAUUUACUAUUUCAGAGUUAAUUAAUGUUGUCAAACUUGACAAGUUAUGAAUGGUUAACGGAUACACAUCACCAAUAUUUGUUUAAAUUGAAGGGAUUGUGGAUGAGAGAGGUUGCAACAACAAAGUCCUUGUCUUUCUCAAUUAAAUAUCAGUUAUUGUAUAUGUUGACAUAAUUUGCACUGCAUUACUCAACAUUUUUUCCAUUACUUCCAUUUCCUCAAUUUUCCUAAACUAGAAAUCAAAUACUAAGGUAAUUAGACAUACUUAUUUAUGCCUUCAUUUCCUUGUCUUUCUCACUUACUUAUCAAUGGAUUCCCUAACAUCAAAUCCUUCCCACUGCCUUUAGCUCCUUGUCUUGCUCACAUAGACAUCAAUAAGUGCCCUAACUUGACAUCUUUCACAAUGCAUUCAUAAUAGAAGUUGUUCUAUUUUUGUUUUUCAUUAAUGCCUCUAUCUAUUUAGGAUAUACAUGAUUUGAUAUCUUUUCUAAAAGGAGGCUUAGCUUCAAUAUUUUACCACUCUCCAAACUCUCACAAUUAGGAACUAUCAUGGUUUGGUAACAUUACUAUAUUGGAUCUAAAACCUUCAAUCACUUACCGAGCUUCAAACUUAUCACUAUCUAGAAUUGAUUUCACUAACAAAAGUGAUACAUUCUCUCAAAAAUCUUAUAAGACUCAAAAUGUAUCAUUUUCCACAUCUAUUAGAAAGAUACCAAAAGAAAACAAUUGAAGAUUGGUCCAAGAUUUCUUAUGUCCCACAAAAUGAUAUUUAGCUAAGAUUAGAUUGAUAAAGAAUGUCAUUUCAGGUAUGAAAUUCCAAUCUUUCUUUUCAUUUUUUAUGGAUUUAUUUAUUUUAAAACCAUAUAUAUGUUGAAAGUAAGAACUAUAAAGCUAUGAACUCAUACAAAUCUAGAAUAACAUUCCCAGUUUUAUUGAACACUUAUUGGUGGCUUAUAUAGCCUUACAAGACAAGGAAUUAGAAAAACAUUGCAGCCCACAUCUUAUACCUAAAGACAUGGUAUUAGUUACUAAAAGAAUCAAAACCUAUCUACUGGUUCCUAACUAAUAGGAACUUAUCAACAGAACUUUCACAAAGCCAAACUUAAUAGAAACAAAUAAAUCCCAACAAUAAUUCCUCCCAUAAACUAAAACAAUAUGCAUUCAGUUUAAGUUUGGUACCUCACAUACCCCAAGCUUCUCACGCAACUUCAAGAACACUUCAAGCUUCAGUGGCUUUGUCAGGAUAUCAACCACUUGAUCAUUGGUGCCACAAUGAACCAACUUCACUACUUCCUCCUUAGUGAGGUCCCUCAAGAAAUGGAACCUCACAUCUAUAUGCUUGCUCCUACCAUGCAUAACCGGAUUCUUGGAUAACUUGAUCAUUGAACUGUUGUCACACAUAAUAGUAGUACACUUACUCUGUGAGUGCCCAAUCUUUUCUAACACUCUCCUCAUCCAUAUACAUUGACAAGCACAGAAAGCUGUUACCACAAAUUUUGCUUCAGUGGUACACAAAGUCACCACUGGUUGCUUCUUUGAGGCCCAAGAAACUGCUAUGCCACUCAAUAAAAACACAUAACCAGAUGUGCUCUUCUUAUCAUCAGUGUCUCCAGCAUAAUCGCUGUCAGUGUAAGCCAAUAGUUCUUCAACAUCUUCUCAUCUCUUAUAAAACACACCCAACUCCACAAUUCCUUUUAAAUAACGAAGAACUCUCUUUGUUGCUUGCAUAUGUAGGUCAGUAGGAUUGGCUAUAUACCUGCUCAAGAGACAUACUACGUACGUUAAAUUAGGUCUUGUUGUAGUAAUGUACAUGAGACUCCCAAUUAAUUGCUUAUAAACUGUAGCAUCAAUCCUAGCACCUUCUCCUUCCUCUGAUAGCUUGAAACCGGGCACAAUAGGAUUCUCCACUGAAUUGGCAUUUUGUAAACCAAACUUCUCAAGUAAUUCACAAGCAUACUUCUUCUGACUUAAGAAGAUACCCUCUGAAGUUUGCAAAACUUCAACACCAAGGAAGUACUUCAUCUUCCCUAAAUCUAUCAUAUCAAACUCAUCCUUCAUGGAACUCUUGAAGCUUUCAAACAUGCAUGCAUCAUUCCCAAUAAAGAUUAAGUCAUCCACAUACAAACUCACAAUUAAGAACCUCUUACCUCCUUCUUCUAUUUUGACAAAGAGAGUGUGCUCGUAAUCACAUCGUUCAAAUCCCUCAUUAACAAAAUAAGCUUCAAUUCUGCUAUACCAAGCACGUGGUGCUUGCUUCAACCCAUAUAAUGCCUUCUUAAGCUUGUAGACCUUUUUUUCUUCACCCUUUCGAAUAUAACCUAGUGGUUGCUCCACAUACACAUCUUCUUUCAACUCACCAUGAAGAAACACACUUUUGACGUCUAAUUGAUACACACUCCAUCCCUUUUGUGCUGCUAGGGCUAGAACCAUCUGAAUUGUGUCCCACCUUGCUACUGGAGCAAAGACUUCAUUAUAAUCAAUUCCUUGUCGCUGAGCAUAACUUUUAGCUACCAACUGGGCUUUGCACUUAUCAACCUCACCCUUUUCAUUCAAUUUGGUCUUAAAAACCCACUUCACACCAAUCUUCUUAGCACCUUUAGGCAAAGUAGUAAGCUGCUAGGUUUUAUUCUUCUCAAUUGCUUCAAUUUCCAAGUCCAUGGUCCUUCUCCAUUUCACAUCCCUCUUAGCUUCUUCAAAAGAUCCCGGAUCUUCAUGAGAGAUAAACAUUGCAAGAUUAUUCACAUCUGCAUCUUCUGACAGUUCUUCACCUGUUACAUAGUCCUGCAAGUAAGGAGGUGCUCUUCGAAUCCUUGUUUCAUCUUGAACUGGUGCAACUUCAUUGGAUGAUUCAAUCGAUGUUGGAGUUGUUGCUUCUGCUUCUUGAUUUGUAACCACUACUUCAAUACAUUCCACAACUUAUUCUUCACUCUCAGAGAAAGCAUCUUCACCUUCAACACUAUCUUCCCAGACCAGUAUAUCACGCUUCACUUCUUUAGUUGUCCUCCCCCAAUUCCAACCUUUAUCCUCUUCGAAACUCACAUUUCUGCUCACUAUAAUUCUUCUAGUAGCUGGAUCAAACAACCGAUAAGCUUUAGAUUCAUGACUUACUCCAAGUAAGACACACUAAAGACUUUUAUCAUCCAAUUUUGUUCUCUUCUGAUCUGGCACAUGUACAUGAGCUAGGCACCCAAAAACCCUUAAGUAGUCCACUUUGGGUUUAACUCCACUCCACAUCUCUUCUGGGGUCUUGUCUUUCACUACCAAUGUUGGACUCCUGUUGAGAACAUGCACUAUCCAUCUUGCAGCUUCUAGCCAGAAUGCUUUUGGCACUUGUUUGUCACAAAGCAUGCACUGAACCAUAUUCAUGAUAGUUUGAUUUUUGCGUUCAGCUACCCCAUUUUUUUGUGGGGUAUAAGAUGUUGUCAGCUGCCUGCUUAUACCAUUGAUUCUACAAAACUCAUUAAACUCAUUGGAGGUGAAUUCUCCUCCUCUAUCAGUGCUUAAACAAUAGAUAAGUUCACUCGACUCCUUCUCAACCAAGCUCUUACAGUUUUUGAAAGUUGUAAAUGUUUCAGACUUUGCAACCAAAAAAUAUAUCCAUACCUUUUUACUAAAAUCAUCGAUGAAGGUUAUAAUAUACCUUUUGCUACUGUUGGAUUCAGGAGUAAUAGGGCCACAUAUAUCAGCAUGAACGAGCUGCAAUUUUCGGGAAGCUCUCCACUGACUCUUCUUUGGAAUAGCAUUUCCGUGUUGCUUUCCCACAAAGCAUUCAUUGCAAGCUAUAGUUGACGCUCUGAGAAGUGGAAGACCCUUCACCAUCUCUUUGUAUUGCAAAGUCCUCAACCCUUUGUAACUCAAAUGCCCAAACCUACGGUGCCACAACUUUGAAUUAUCUUCUGUGACUGUUUACAGGCAUGUCGAGGUCUCAAGCACCACAUUAGCCAAUAACACAAACAUCCGAUUUGUUGUCAUUUUUGUCUGCAUAAUCAAUCCUCUUCUAGGGUGGUAUAACUUACAUUCCCCAUUUUGUAUAAUUAUAGCUAAACCCCUUUCUUGAAGUUGCCUUAUACUCAGCAAAUUAUUCUUCAAAGCAAGAACAUAGUAAACAUCAGUGACUACCUAAGUUGAGCCAUUAAUCUCAAGUCGGAUGUUGCCUUUGCCCAUCACUCCCAUCCUUGUAUUAUUGCCGAGCUUCACAGAGUGUUUGAAAGCCUCAUCAAUGUUAGAGAACCACUGCUUGUUCCCGCACAUGUGAUUGUUGCAACCUGAGUCGAGGAACCACACAUCUUCUCGUUUCGAGUUGUUGACUUCAACAUAAGACAUGAGGAACAUCUCUUCUUCUUCAUCUAACUCAGUAUAGUUUGCACUCUUCUCCCAACUAGGACAUUCGUAUUGGAAGUGCCCUAGUUUGUGGCAUUUAAAACACUCCAGUGUGGCCUUGUUUGCAAAGUAACUUCCUCUGCCUCUCCCGCGGCCUCGAACAUAACUUUGACCUCUGCCUCUUCCUUCAUACCUUUCUCCAUACAAAACCUUUAAAGCUUGUUCAUCCCUUGCAUUUCCAUUAUGACAAUUCAUUCUCUGUUCAUGAACCAAAAGGCUGCUUUGAAGCUCGUCAAUGGUCAUCGUGUCCACAUUAUUGGACUCUUCUAUUGAGCAUACCUCAUAGUCGAACCUGGGAGUCAUCGAUCUCAAGAUUUUCCCCACAAUCACGUUUUGCCCCAUUCUUUCUUCAUGUACUUUCAUCUUGUUUGCAAUAGUCAAAGCUCUGGCAAAGUACUCAUCAACCUUCUCACCCUCUUUCAUCUAUAGGAUCUCAAACUCUUUUCUAAGGGCUUGUAGUUGAGCUCGUUUAACUCUGGUGGAGCCCUGAUACUUCUGCCUCAUUGAAUCCCAUGUACUCUUUGUUGUGUUCUUAUCAAGAAUUGUCUCCAUAAUGGUCCUAUCAAUCGAUUGAAACAUGUAGUUCUUGAUCUUCAUAUCAUUUAGCCUCACCUCUUCAACUUCUUUUCUUUAUGCUUGAGUAGGCGUUGAUCCUUCGACUAUUGAAGGAAUUCCAUUUUCUACUAUGCUCCAGUACUUCUUUGAAUGGAGAAAAUUCUCCAUUAACAUGGCCCAAUGGUCAUAAUAAUCAUCAAAUCUUGGAAUUGCCGGAUGAGCAAAGUUUUCUGUCGCCAUGUUCACUCACUCCACCUUCCUUUCUUCUCUAUUCUCUCUUCUCACACUCUGUAAGAAAUCUGUAGUUUCUUACUUUCUUCAAUCAGGCCUCUUAGCGGAGCUCUGAUACCAGAUUGUUGAAAGCAAGAACUAUAAAGCUAUGAACUCAUACAAAUCUGGAAUAACAUCCCCUGUUUUAUUGAACACUUACUGGUGGCUUAUAUAGCUUUACAAGAUAAGGAAUUAGAAAAAUAUUGUAUCCCACGUCUUAUACCUAAAGACAUGGUAUUAGUUACUAAAAGAGUCAAAACCUAUCUACUGGUUCCUAACUAAUAGGAACUUAUUAACAGAACUUUGACAAAGCCAAACCUUAACAGAAACAAAUAAAUCCCAACAGUAUAAUCCUUUGUUUUCAUUUUGCCUUGGUAAAAUGCUUAGAUCAAUAAGUUUUGAAAGUUUUGCAUCUUCAAAUUACUAACUGCUAAUGAUAUGUAGCAACCUAAUCAUGUAUGUUACUUUCAAUAUUGCAUUCUAAGAGUUUGGGACAUGCCAAGGUUUGAUUUAAUAAUUAUUUCUUUCACGUUUUUAAAUUGGAAAUCAUUGUUUGUUCAGGUUCAUUGCCCAAGCUUAAAGUCUUUGCCAUAAGGAAACAAACUUUUGAUAGGCCUAAUGAUUUCUCAUGGCUAAUUCAUAUCUACUAGAUGUUUGAUACCGAAAGAACUUUUGCUCUAUUAUAAAUUUAGGUUUGUUUGCCAUAUAUUUUAUGUUCAAAUUUGUUAAAAUGAUUAAACUAGUUAAUUUUGAAAUUUAUAACAUGUUUAUAAUAAUUCAUUAUUGAUUGUUUGCACUCAUUAUGUUACUUGAUGUUUUCUUCUUAUACCAGACUUAUACUAAAAGGAUAAUGUUGAGAAUUGGCAUAAUACAAUUCAAUAUUCCCACUAUAAAUGUUCACAAGUUAUGGAUAGCUAAUGCAUAAGGAUAAAGUUAUUUCAUUUGCAUGUUGUAUGGAAGGUUGAUGCAUAUGGAAAGAGUAAGAUCAAUUUGUUGUUGUCUAUAAUAUAUAUGAUUACUUCGUCUCUUUCUUUGUUCAGUGUCAUGCUCAAUAACUUAUAAUUUUUCAUUUAAUUUGUUAAGAAAUACUAUACUCUAUUUGAAGUUAUGAUCUUAUGAUUCUCAUAAUAUAGAAAACCUUGAACAUAAUGUAAUGGGUCAGGUUCCCAUAAGUCAUAAUGCACCUUAUCAAGGGGAAAUUUGAAGUUUUUAGUUGAUAAAGAAAAACAAAAUUUGUAACUCUUCCUAAUUUGACAACUACUACAUAUUGAUUUAUCUUUUGUCUUUACUAAUAUCAUCGAUAAAUGUUCUAUUUCUUGUAAAAAAUUUAAAUAUUUUACCGAUAUCAUUUAUCAUGUUCACCUUGGCAUAGGCAAGGUCAUUUCGUCUUCAUAGACUUAUUGUAGUCAAUGCUUGGGGAAUUUCUUUUAAGCUAUAUGAAUAGUCAAACAUGUUUUAACAAUCUUUUGGAAGUGAUUAGUUUUAUUAAAAAUUUGACAAACAAUAAUACCUCCAGCUUUUGAGAGUUGUCAAUUCUAUCAUUCUAGUUGAGUUGUUUUUCCAUUGAUUGUUGUCAUGUCAUUUGUUUUUGUUAUUCUACUUGCCUCAACCAUUACCUUGAAAUCUUUCGCAUGAGUGAAAACUCUUCCUCUCUAAUUAAAAUGAUUGCCAUUAUUUUUUC